CCUACGGGGGGCAGCAGUGGGGGAUAUUGGACAAUGGGGGAAACCCUGAUCCAGCGACGCCGCGUGAGUGAAGAAGUAUUUCGGUAUGUAAAGCUCUGUCAGCAGGGAAGAAAGAAAUGACGGUACCUGACCAAGAAGCCCCGGCUAACUACGUGCCAGCAGCCGCGGUAAUACGUAGGGGGCGAGCGUUAUCCGGAUUUACUGGGUGUAAAGGGGGCGCAGACGGCAGCGCAAGCCAGGAGUGAAAGCCCGGGGCCCAACCCCGGGACUGCUCUUGGAACUGCGCGGCUGGAGGGCAGGAGGGG
rnacentral:rRNA from 1 species